rnacentral:rRNA from 1 species
CGGCGGACGGGUGAGUAACACGUGGAUAACCUACCUAUAAGACUGGGAUAACUUCGGGAAACCGGAGCUAAUACCGGAUAAUAUAUUGAACCGCAUGGUUCAAUGGUAAAAGACGGUUUUGCUGUCACUUAUAGAUGGAUCCGCGCCGCAUUAGCUAGUUGGUAAGGUAACGGCUUACCAAGGCAACGAUGCGUAGCCGACCUGAGAGGGUGAUCGGCCACACUGGAACUGAGACACGGUCCAGACUCCUACGGGAGGCAGCAGAA